rnacentral:rRNA from 1 species
AGAUUAAGUUAUUAAGGGCGCACGGUGGAUGCCUUGGCACUAGAAGCCGAAGAAGGACGUUACUAACGACGAUAUGCUUUGGGUAGCUGUAAGUAAGCGUUGAUCCAGAGAUUUCCGAAUGGGGGAACCCAACAUGAGUGAUGUCAUGUUAUCGACAUGUGAAUUCAUAGCAUGUCAGAAGGCAGACCCGGAGAACUGAAACAUCUUAGUACCCGGAGGAAGAGAAAGAAAAAUCGAUUCCCUGAGUAGCGGCGAGCGAAACGGGAAGAGCCCAAACCAACAAGCUUGCUUGUUGGGGUUGUAGGACACUCUAUACGGAGUUACAAAAGAACAUGUUAGACGAAUCAUCUGGAAAGAUGAAUCAAAGAAGGUAAAAAUCCUGUAGUCGAAAACAUAUUCUCUCUUGAGUGGAUCCUGAGUACGACGGAGCACGUGAAAUUCCGUCGGAAUCUAGGAGGACCAUCUCCUAAGGCUAAAUACUCUCUAGUGACCGAUAGUGAACCAGUACCGUGAGGGAAAGGUGAAAAGUACCCCGGAAGGGGAGUGAAAGAGAACUUGAAACCGUGUGCUUACAAGUAGUCAGAGCCCGUUAAUGGGUGAUGGCGUGCCUUUUGUAGAAUGAACCGGCGAGUUACGAUCUGAUGCAAGGUUAAGCAGCGAAUGUGGAGCCGUAGCGAAAGCGAGUCUGAAUAGGGCGUUGAGUAUUUGGUCGUAGACCCGAAACCAGGUGAUCUACCCUUGGUCAGGUUGAAGUUCAGGUAACACUGAAUGGAGGACCGAACCGACUUACGUUGAAAAGUGAGCGGAUGAACUGAGGGUAGCGGAGAAAUUCCAAUCGAACUUGGAGAUAGCUGGUUCUCUCCGAAAUAGCUUUAGGGCUAGCCUCAAGUGAUGAUUAUUGGAGGUAGAGCACUGUUUGGACGAGGGGCCCCUCUCGGGUUACCGAAUUCAGACAAACUCCGAAUGCCAAUCAAUUUAACUUGGGAGUCAGAACAUGGGUGAUAAGGUCCGUGUUCGAAAGGGAAACAGCCCAGACCACCAGCUAAGGUCCCAAAAUAUAUGUUAAGUGGAAAAGGAUGUGGCGUUGCCCAGACAACUAGGAUGUUGGCUUAGAAGCAGCCAUCAUUUAAAGAGUGCGUAAUAGCUCACUAGUCGAGUGACACUGCGCCGAAAAUGUACCGGGGCUAAACAUAUUACCGAAGCUGUGGAUUGUCCGUAGGACAAUGGUAGGAGAGCGUUCUAAGGGCGUUGAAGCAUGAUCGCAAGGACAUGUGGAGCGCUUAGAAGUGAGAAUGCCGGUGUGAGUAGCGAAAGACGGGUGAGAAUCCCGUCCACCGAUUGACUAAGGUUUCCAGAGGAAGGCUCGUCCGCUCUGGGUUAGUCGGGUCCUAAGCUGAGGCCGACAGGCGUAGGCGAUGGAUAACAGGUUGAUAUUCCUGUACCACCUAGUAUCGUUUUAAUCGAUGGGGGGACGCAGUAGGAUAGGCGAAGCGUGCUGUUGGAGUGCACGUCCAAGCAGUAAGGCUGAGUGUUAGGCAAAUCCGGCACUCGUAAGGCUGAGCUGUGAUGGGGAGAGGAAAUUGUUUCCUCGAGUCGUUGAUUUCACACUGCCGAGAAAAGCCUCUAGAUAGAUAACAGGUGCCCGUACCGCAAACCGACACAGGUAGUCAAGAUGAGAAUUCUAAGGUGAGCGAGCGAACUCUCGUUAAGGAACUCGGCAAAAUGACCCCGUAACUUCGGGAGAAGGGGUGCUCUUUAGGGUUCACGCCCAGAAGAGCCGCAGUGAAUAGGCCCAAGCGACUGUUUAUCAAAAACACAGGUCUCUGCUAAACCGUAAGGUGAUGUAUAGGGGCUGACGCCUGCCCGGUGCUGGAAGGUUAAGAGGAGUGGUUAGCUUCUGCGAAGCUACGAAUCGAAGCCCCAGUAAACGGCGGCCGUAACUAUAACGGUCCUAAGGUAGCGAAAUUCCUUGUCGGGUAAGUUCCGACCCGCACGAAAGGCGUAACGAUUUGGGCACUGUCUCAACGAGAGACUCGGUGAAAUCAUAGUACCUGUGAAGAUGCAGGUUACCCGCGACAGGACGGAAAGACCCCGUGGAGCUUUACUGUAGCCUGAUAUUGAAAUUCGGCACAGCUUGUACAGGAUAGGUAGGAGCCAUUGAAACGUGAGCGCUAGCUUACGUGGAGGCGUUGGUGGGAUACUACCCUAGCUGUGUUGGCUUUCUAACCCGCACCACUUAUCGUGGUGGGAGACAGUGUCAGGCGGGCAGUUUGACUGGGGCGG